rnacentral:rRNA from 1 species
UACAGAGGGUGCGAGCGUUAAUCGGAAUUACUGGGCGUAAAGCGCGCGUAGGCGGCUUUGCAAGUCGGAUGUGAAAUCCCCAGGCUUAACCUGGAACUGCAUUCGAGACUGCAUUGCUAGAGUAUGGAGAGGAAGUGGAAUUCCGGUGUAGCGGUGAAAUGCGUAGAUAUCGGAAGGAACAUCAGUGGCGAAGCGACUUCCUGACCAAUACUGACGCUCAUGUGCGAAGCGUGGGAGCAAACAGG